GGGGGCACUCACUGCGAGAGUGCUUCUGGCCCGGUGCCUGAGCCCCCAGAGGCAGUCCCAAGAAGAGGUGCAGGAUCUGCCCAGCUGGGGCUCCGGAACCUGGCGGCAGCCAGCCUGGGGGUGGGCACCUCCAGGCAGCCACUGUGACUGAGCUCCACGUUUGCCACCAGGACCACGCCUGGGCACUACCUGGUCAACUGAGGAGGAGUAGGCCCAGGGCAAGCCGAGGACCCCAGGAUUGAAGACUCAGGUUGGACUGGCAGCAAAGGGCACUGCUUGCACCUGGAUGCCCACCGAUGCCCAGACCUCUGUAGUGCCCUUGGGGGCUGCUCAGGCUUGUACGGCUUAUCUGUCCAGCCCCAUCGGCCACCUUCCUGGAGCAGGGAACAACCUCUGAGCAAGGAGACCCAGAGGCCUGCGGGUGGCUGCAGGAAGGCCUGGACUGAAGGGCUGGCAAAGGUGGGCCUGGAGCUGGUGGUGGGUUGCAAGGGCCUCAGGUGGGUGUAGCCCCCUCUGCUUGUGGUUCUGGGGCCAGCUCCUGUGGCUGCACCUGGGUGUGCUGCUCCAGCUCCUGGUGGUCCAGCUGCUGCAGCUGUCUCUCCACAUCCUCGGGCACCUGUACCUCCAGCAGGUUUUCCAUGCCCGGCUCUGGCUCAUCCCCAAUGAGCACCUGCCAGCACGGGAGGCAGGUGAGCAUCUGGCUGGCACACCACGGACAUCCACCCCCCCUUCCCCACAAGCCUCGCACCCACCUGAAUGAGUUUCUCACAAGUCACCUGCACGUCGGGCUCUGGCUCCCAGCUGUGUAGCUCACGCAGGAUCAGGUAGGCUCCCUGGUUUCUCACCUGCUGCCGACCAGACGCUGUGGCUGUUAGCUGGAAGACGGCAAAGGUCACACAGGUAUCAGUGCACUCACGUAUGUGUGGGCAUGUUGCGAGGUGGCGUUAGCAUAGCAGGACCCCUGCUCACCAGCAUGAUGGCCUCGAGGAGCAUCUUGCGGAUGUCAGCAUCAGGCUCUCGCUGCUUGUCUGGCGGCAGAUACUGCAGGUCGGCAGGCAGCCCUAGAGGUGUAUGUGGGGUUACUGCGUGCCAGCACCGGGUAGCUAGGCCAGACCCUGCCUUGGUAAGCCCCGUCUGUGCUCAGCAUCUCCCUGCUGGAAGGUUUCAGAGGGAGUCCUGAUGGGCGCAUCUGCCCGCCCCCCCAGUGGCCUUCCCCUCCCCCCGCCAACCCUGAGGCUCCACCCAAGCCACUCACGCUCCAUCUCCUCCUCAGAGAAGUCCUCAGGCCCAGCCAGGGGCAGCAGCAAGAAAGGGAGAAUGUCCACCUGGGGCCCAAGCAACCACUCGUGGUGUCCUGAGGGGAAAACAGAAAUGGGAGCCAGCCUAGAGGGGGGCCCCCCGAAGUGGUCUCUUUGCCCCAGCCCGCCCAACCGCAACACCCUCACCCCCAUCACCACUCACGAUGCUCGAAGCAGCAGUUUCGGAGAGUCCCCACCACCCCGCCCCUGCGCACCGAGGAGUCUGAGAACUGGGAACCUCAACGGUACCCCUUGUGUAGCUGCGACGACGUCAAAACCAAGGAGUCUGUGUGGUUUAUGCCACUUUACCACCUGUGGAGACUCAUGGAACCAAUGCGGCUGUCAAAAUAGGGAGCGGUGUCAUCGCCACGAAGACCUCCUUGUGCCGUGCGAGCUCCCAGCCUUGCCCCGGGGAAGCACAAACCUGUUCUUCCUCUGUAACUCUGUCACUUCUCGAGUGUGACGGAAAUGGAAUCACACCGCAGAUGACCCCUGGAGGUCGUCACGCGUGUCACACGUUUCAUUUUUAUGGCCACGGAGUACCCCGUGGUGUGCACCUGCCAGUGGGGUGGCCGUUUGCCUGUUGAAGGACCUUUGUGUCAUUUCCAGGCUGAGGCUAUUACAAAUAAAGCUGCUGUAAAACA